rnacentral:rRNA from 1 species
GAUGAACGCUGGCGGCGUGCUUAACACAUGCAAGUCGAACGAUGAUCCGGUGCUUGCACCGGGGAUUAGUGGCGAACGGGUGAGUAACACGUGAGUAACCUGCCCUUGACUCUGGGAUAAGCCUGGGAAACUGGGUCUAAUACCGGAUAUGACUCCUCAUCGCAUGGUGGGGGGUGGAAAGCUUUUGCGGUUUUGGAUGGACUCGCGGCCUAUCAGCUUGUUGGUGAGGUAAUGGCUUACCAAGGCGACGACGGGUAGCCGGCCUGAGAGGGUGACCGGCCACACUGGGACUGAGACACGGCCCAGACUCCUACGGGAGGCAGCAGUGGGGAAUAUUGCACAAUGGGCGCAAGCCUGAUGCAGCGACGCCGCGUGAGGGAUGACGGCCUUCGGGUUGUAAACCUCUUUCAGUAGGGAAGAAGCGAAAGUGACGGUACCUGCAGAAGAAGCGCCGGCUAACUACGUGCCAGCCGCCGCCGUAAUAC